ACGCUCGACACCUACGGAGGCAGCAGUGGGGAAUAUUGCACAAUGGAGGAAACUCUGAUGCAGCGACGCCGCGUGAGCGAAGAAGUAUUUCGGUAUGUAAAGCUCUAUCAGCAGGGAAGAAAAAGGACGGUACCUGACUAAGAAGCUCCGGCUAAAUACGUGUCAGCAGCCGCGGUAAUCUGAGCGGGCUGGCAAGGC
rnacentral:rRNA from 1 species